GUCGUGCCUGCCUUCCGCUCCCCUGGAAGUGGGCGAGGGGAACAUGGCAACUCUCCCUCCAUGGGGCGCCUGAGCCUCGGGACACCCUGAGCAUGGUGGCCCUGUGCGCUGCAGAGUGGACAGAGGAUGCUGGCCCAUGGGGUACGAGACAGCUCUGCACCGGGACGGCUUUGUCUCUGUUCCCUGGACCCUGAGACAGCAUGGUGACGCUCCCUCAGAAGACCCUGCAGAACAGCCAGGGACCAGGAAGCCAGGACCCUGGUGGGCUGCACCCACCCUUCCAUUCUCAUGUGGCAGGGCCUGGCUGGUCCGCAGGGCCUGCCCCUCCUGGGAGAGCCUGCUCUGACUCAGGAACUGCUUGCCUGUGAGCUCCCCUCUCGUGGAAGCCAGCCUGUCCACAUUCCCCAGCCCUGACCACUCCAGGCCAUUUAUCGGACAUCCAGGGGCAGCCCACACCCUGGAGCUGCUCAGUCAUCAAACCUGCCAAUCCCAGCGGUCGGCCUGUUCUGUCUUCCCCACUCGGUCCCUCUCCAAGGAACCACAGAGAAAGCCAUCUGACAGCCACUGUCCCUCAUGGCAGCUGUCCCCCCUUGAUCUGCUGGUCUCACUACCAUGAUUAAAAUAGAUCCCAGGUACAUCUCAACCACACAUAAUAACAAUGGCAGGUAACUGCAUGCCACACAGCUGCACUGGCUAUCGGGGACCCUGCUGAGAUAACUCAUCCACACAGGCCCAAGUGGACAACCGCCCUGGGUCCCGGGGCCUUUGGACUGAGGAGCAGCCCCAUCUCUGUGUGUCUCACAGACAGCAGCCCCCAGGCCAGGGGAGGGCACAGCAUAGCCCUGUAGACACACCCCAGAGGACAGCAGCACAGACGGCACAGCCAGGAGCUGUGGAGGAAGCUGGCGACUGGCAUGUCACCACAUACCCAGGGCACAGCAAGGUCAGGGCAGCAGGAUGGGGUGAGCCUCCCAGGCCUGAGGGGCAUGCUGGGAGAUCAGGGUAACCACCCUCCCCAAGACACCCUCAAGUUAGGUGUGGGAAGCACUGUCGCGGGCAGUUAGAAGAGGUGUGUUGGGGAGCUGAAGCAAGAAGCACUAGUGUUCCCAGAGGCAGGUUUGGCUGCUGCUCCCAGAGCAAGCCUCUGCCUUCUUGGGCAGGACCGAGUGCUGCACUCGGCAUCCCCAGACCAGUGCUCAGGGCUUGGCAGCACAAUGGGACACUGGACAGACGUGCCUGGCAGCCUGUGGUCAUCUGGAGACGGGAGAGUGUGCACAUCCAGUUAGCCAAUCCAUUCGCUAGGCAUUUGCUGGGGUGGGGCUGCUGGUGUGUUACAGUAGGAACCAGCAACUAUCUAGAAAACCAAGUGUGAAACUGGAAAAAAACUGUAAAGCAAUCAAUUUGGGGUUCAACUGCAUUUGGGGUUCAACUAAAGGCAGAUGACAGAUGGAAAAGCAGUUAUUCUUGAAAACCUCCUACAGUUUUGGGUGAGCAGGGGGGCUGUGGAGAGGACAGCAGUCCUGGGCAGGGUGCCAGAGGCCGUGGGCUCAAGGCAGGAGGAAGCACUUCUGUAGGACAUGGCCUUAGCUGAGGAGGGCAAGGCCAGCCUGGGAAACUGUGAAGAUCAGAGGAGACACUCCCCACGCCACAGUAGUGGGCAGGGCCAGCAGGUGUGAACUGGGCCUCCAUCCCCACAUCUCAUCAGGGUGCAGCCUUAGGGACACAGCUGCUGAAGCAAGUCUCAGACAAGCCCCUCCUGGCCCCUAACUUCUAAGGCAGGGGAAACCAGGAGGACACAGGACCAUGGCAGGUCCACGUCCGUGGCUCAGUGCCGAGCAAGUGCAUGGCCCUCACGCUCAUCUCAACAGGCGCAGAGAAAACAUCUGGGAGAUCAAGGACCACCCUUGCACAGGCAUCUCCAAGAAACCCAAUG
rnacentral:lncRNA from 1 species